GACGAACGCUGGCGGCGUGCUUAACACAUGCAAGUCGAACGUGAUUUUUGUGGAAAUUCUUUCGGGAAUGGAAAUGAAAUGAAAGUGGCGAACGGGUGAGUAACACGUGAGCAACCUACCUUACACAGGGGGAUAGCCGUUGGAAACGACGAUUAAUACCGCAUGAGACCACAGAAUCGCAUGAUAUAGGGGUAAAAGAUUUAUCGGUGUAAGAAGGGCUCGCGUCUGAUUAGCUAGUUGGAAGGGUAAAGGCCUACCAAGGCGACGAUCAGUAGCCGGUCUGAGAGGAUGAACGGCCACAUUGGAACUGAGACACGGUCCAAACUCCUACGGGAGGCAGCAGUGGGGAAUAUUGCACAAUGGGGGGAACCCUGAUGCAGCGACGCCGCGUGAGCGAAGAAGGUUUUCGAAUCGUAAAGCUCUGUCCUAUGAGAAGA
rnacentral:rRNA from 1 species